GACUUAAAAUCCGUCGACUUUAAAUCGGGG
rnacentral:tRNA from 1 species